AUGACGCUCUUCGGCAGCGGGGACCCGGGCUGGAGAUAUUUGGAUAUGUCCAGGGAGUCCAAGCUGAGCCGGGCCAGGCUGGGCCAGAAGCGUCAGCACAGCAGCAGCCUGUACCACAGUAACUGUGACCUGGACUAUGAUCUCUACAGGGACGACUUCCCAUACCGGGUAUACGAGUACCAGAAGAUCCCCCCACUCAUUAACCGCAUCCCAGUCAAGACCAGGCGGACUCACUCGAGAGCAGGAAGCAAGAGCAGCCUGAGUCCCCAGCCUGGGACAAGGAGCAGCACCAGCUCCACAACAGGACGGACAAAGUUGCAAGUUGAAGAGCUGCACUCCAUCAAGGGGGAGCUGAGCCAGAUCAAGGCGCAGGUGGACAGUCUGCUGGAGAGCCUGGACCGCAUGGACCAGCGGAGAGAGCGUCUCACAGGGUCCAAGGAAAGCGAGAAGAAGAGGGCAGAGCCGGGGACAGAGUCACCAUCCCCAGCUGGAGAGGGGUCACAGGAGUCACGGAGAAAGGAGGGGACAAGGGCUGAUGGGGACAGAGACCUGCACAACAUUGACAGUGCAGAGGAGAGCACAGACACAGAGGAGACGGUGAAAACCCACAUUUCGGACUCCAAGGGGAGCCAGUAGCCAGCCUGGGAUGCUGUGGCCUUCCUGUGGGGCCAGCCCUUCCCAGCUUGUGUUCUUUAUUUCUUUUGAGGCUUCCAGCUAGUGCCACACACGACACGAGGUGCCUACCCUCGGCAUGGCCAUCCCCUGCCACUGGCAGCCUCAUGUCCUAUCCUGGAAGUUGCCCGCCAGCUCUGGUGACAGUUUUUGUGUUCCAGUGCACUUGUUUUCUUUUUCCUUCUGUUUUCAGACCAAUGGAUAAGCAGAGGUGGCCUGGGGAGGGAAGGGAGAAGUAAAAAAUAGAAAGGACCAUAUCCCAGAGUAGCAUCUCAAAUCCCAGCUGGUCUGCGGCCAGCAUCGCCUCACCCACAGGAUGCUGUGGAGAGAGAAUGUAGCCCAGUGUUCCCACCCCUAUGGCACAACUGGCAUCCCAACCUUCAGACCCUGGGAACUGGUGCAGCAGGCACAGGUACAGCCCAGGAUGGCUUUCAGAGCUGCUCAGUGUCCCACCUUAGGAAGAAGGAACCAUGCUAAGCCAGCUUUAGGAGGCUUUUGUGGGAUUUUAGGAUGGUGCCAAGCCUAACUCUGAUGUGACCUGCAGGACCAGCAGUGGGGCAAUACCAACCCAAUCAUUCCCACUUGCCCCAGCUCCCAAAUGUGUUUUCCUUACUGAUUUUCCACAGGCUGUUCUCAGCCAGGCAUUGCAUCUGCAGCCAGCAGGACUCUAGUAAGAGCUUUACUAGAACCCAAAAAGUCCUGGUCCCCCUUGUGCUCCCCAGUGUCACAUUUCAGUUACAUGUCCCUCAUUUCUGUUGUCCUUCUCUCACUGGUAGGAACUUGUUCUGUAUUUCUAAUUUGCUCUGGUAAAAGAGUGUAUUGUCUUGGAAAGAAAAAUUUAUAUUUCUUUUAUCUGGUUAUUUGACUCCAAUGCAGUUUUUAACCAUCUGAAGUGAACAGUUUUGUACCCCAUUUUAUGCACUGCCAGACACAGCCCUCAGCUCUGAGGGCUUUCUUGGAUGCUGCCUUUCCUACAGCUCAACCCACAGGCACGAGUGCAGCUCUGCUCUGUAUCCCAAUGGAAAAUACCCCAACUUCCCUACCAGCCCACCAUGAUGCAACUUGGCAGACAAGACCACCUGCUGCACUCCAUCCCCAGGAAUAACCAGAUUCCAAGGAAGCACCCAGCUCCCCCUGAACUCCUCAGGGACAGUGGGAGCAGAGAGGGUCACCCCAACUGUAGAAGCACAUCCUUCCACCUCUGCCCAUGGCAGAGGGCCAUGCAAGCAGAAGACUCACCAGAAAAAAUAUUAUUUAUUAUUACAAAAAAAAUUAACAAAACACAACUCUGCCACCCUGAAGCACUGCCUGGGCAAUAAGUCCAAUGGAUGCUAGUCCAUGCCAUGAUGUGGUUCCUGCCUGGUUCUGCCUAGAUGCUGCCUGCACAGAUGGAUACAGUGGGGAGCUUGGAGUGAGGGUUUCAGCCUGGUGCUGUGACCACCCCGGGGUGAGAUGUGGGGUCCUGGAGUGCCAGCAACUGCAUGGAGGGAGGUGUUGGGCAGGCUCUGGCUGCUGAGGCAGUAUGGAGGUCUUGGGGGGGCUUCAGCAGCGUGCAAGGCUGUUUGGGUCCCAUGGUGCCAGUCGAGAAUGGCCUCCCGCGACACGAUGGCUCCUUAGGUGCACUCUGGGGUGCUUGGGCAGUGCAGACUCCUGUGUCCUUCAGCACAGUUCUUGGGUCUCCAGCUACGUGGGCAGCACAAGGGGGUCUCCAGCAGUGCAAAGGUAGGCUCAUCCAGUCUCCAGCAGCAUGAGGCAUUGAUCAGGCUAGGUCUGGGCAUUCACCAGCAGUUACAAUUAAACUUAAGCUUCAACUUAAUAAACUUCUAAGAUUCUAAAAUAAACUUAUUUUA
rnacentral:lncRNA from 1 species